rnacentral:rRNA from 1 species
GUGAGGAAUAUUGCGCAAUGGAGGCAACUCUGACGCAGCCAUGCCGCGUGCAGGAAGAAGGCGCUACGCGUUGUAAACUGCUUUUAACCGGGAAGAAACCCCAGGACGUGUCCUGGGUUGACGGUACCGGAGGAAUAAGCACCGGCUAACUUCGUGCCAGCAGCCGCGGUAAUACGAAGGGUGCAAGCGUUAUCCGGAUUCAUUGGGUUUAAAGGGUGCGUAGGCGGAGCGUUAAGUCAGUGGUGAAAUCCUGCAGCUUAACUGUAGACUUGCCAUUGAGACUGGCGCUCUUGAGUGCGCUUGAAGUGGGCGGAAUGUGCCGUGUAGCGGUGAAAUGCUUAGAUAUGGCACAGAACACCAAUUGCGAAGGCAGCUCACUAAGGCGAUACUGACGCUGAGGCACGAAAGCGUGGGGAUCGAACAGGAUUAGAUACCCUUGUAGUCC